UUCCCUGGACUUUUCCCUACGUUCGAUGCUAACCUCUUCUGUGAUCUCACUCUUCCCCCUUCUCCUCCCUUUUACUCUGAGGUUAUCAGUUCACUUAAAACCUUGCCUCUGGU
rnacentral:lncRNA from 1 species